rnacentral:misc_RNA from 1 species
ACCAAUAACCACAUCAGGUCUCCA